CAGUACUCAAGAUGUGGGCGUACCAUAGUUUUAUACAGGGGCAGUAAGAUAUUCUGUGUCAUAUGUGUUUUGUCCCAAUUGUUCUACGACUUUAUAAUUAGAAGAAUGAUUAAACUACAAAGUAAACGUUUUUAAUUUAUCGGAAGGAAGGCUUUUAUUGACCCAAUCCAAGAUGGGUUGGGGGAUGGUUAGUUCAUGAACACGUGCAAGGCUUUGACUUUUCAUCUGGAUUCGGGAGGAGAGGCAUUUUUGAAAUCUCAACAGUGUUCACAGGACAGGAAAACACAACCCCUUCCCUGGCCAACCGGAGUGAAAAGUUCCAACGUUCCAGCCUAGCGAAAAGGCUUCUGUUAACGGCAAUGGGCAGCAGAACUGGAAUUCUAGCUCGGAGCACUCCGCUCUUAUGAUGCGGGAGAACUCGGAAUCCAUGCUGAACUCCACUAGGUGUGAAUGCCAUUCGUUGUCCUCUUUCCCAUAAGUAUUCUUCUCCUCUGAUGCAUUGAGAACAAUGUCCCCCCACAGCACUGUGAAGGGGCUCACCCUCCCACGGGCGCUCCUUUGUGGCCGAGGACGGGUCUGCAACUUCUCCGCUCUGAAUUGACUUUGGAAGUUGCUGGACCUGGAUUCCAGCCAGGUCUGAAGUCCAGCUCACACUCGGAGCUGCUGUCUUCCAAAUUCCCUGAGACUCCAGUUGACUGUCAAGCAUGAAAAUCUUUUCUCUUCUUUUUGCUGGUCUCUUCCUGCUUUCCCUGCCCAAGCCAGGAAAUGGCCAGUUUGUCGUGCUGGGGUGUUUAUUCCGAGGCGGUUCCUGUCGCCCUGACAAUUGCUACCUGGAUGAGGAAGAGAUCGGGAGCUGCCUGCGGAGCAACAGGAUAUGCUGCAAGAGAACGUCAUAAAGGACGCCGGGCACGUAGGGACAGAGUGAACCGGGCCAGAAACUCAGGAGAAAUCUGUGCGGGACACGUUUCCUUCAAUACACACCUCACGCGGCCUUCAUAAAAGGGACGUUCUGAACUUCCACAGCCGGGUGUGAAUGAUUUGGUCUCCUCCACACGGGCCCAUCUGCCCCGUUGUUCUCAUUUCAGGUGUUGCCACAUUCACAGUGGCUUUCAACAAGCCCUAGGCGUACUCCCCUCACGUUACCGUCCACAGAACCCCA